AGUGAAGGAAUUGAUGCCAUUAAGAACAAACUUGGUGAAGCUUGAUAGGUAGAGAAACUGACUCUGACAUAAUCCAACAAAAUUGGAGUUAAUUAGAUCAAAUCUGGAGGCCGAUGUAAAGACAUCCUUGAGAAGAUACGGUAAAGUAUCAUGUCAAUCGAACAGAUACUUUGAUUUUUUAGUUCAAGAUGGAGAUUUAAUCUUUC
rnacentral:lncRNA from 1 species